AUGAUUUCUAUUCGUCACUCGCGCAUAACAUCGCGAGUAUAUAGGGAAGUGGAGAAGCCCAUGGCAUGGAAAGGGGAACCCUUGGCUCCUCCGUGGCCAAUAAAGAGGGGAACAGCUACAGUUAACAUCUUAUGGCUUCUUCCACCUCCCUCUACUACCUUUGCAAUCUCUAGAGCUCCAGCGCCCUGCCUUUCUGCUCCGCGGCGAAUCCCGUCUAGCUCCUCCCUAGCCCCGGGCAUGGCCGGACCCGGCGCAAAUGGCAAGUGGGACGCCUCCGUCGUCACCAACAAUGACAUCGUGGAGUUGAAGCGAGCCGACUACUUAUUGGUCGACAUUGCCCAUCAGGCCCCCGAGGAGGGCCAAAUCAUCCCCAUGCCCAAGCGGGGCGAGAGGGUGGUAUUCCUUCCCCAUUUUAUCCGAGGUCUAGGAUAUCCAGUGCACACCUUUGCGAGGGAGUUGAUGUUCUACGGGCUAGAUUUACAUGAUCUAGCCCCCAACUCUCACCUCCACAUCUCGACCUUCAUCAUCGUCUGUGAGCCUCUCCUGCAAGUUCAGCUGUACUUCGGCCUGUGCCUGAAGGUGUUCAACGUCAAGCCUAAGGUGGUCACUGGCGCCCAGGCGGACUAG
rnacentral:rRNA from 1 species